UACGUAGGGUGCGAGCGUUGUCCGGAAUUAUUGGGCGUAAAGAGCUCGUAGGCGGUCUGUCGCGUCGGUCGUGAAAACUUGGGGCUUAACCCUGAGCUUGCGGUCGAUACGGGCAUGACUGGAGUUCGGUAGGGGAGACUGGAAUUCCUGGUGUAGCGGUGAAAUGCGCAGAUAUCGGGAGGAACACCAGUAGCGAAGGCGGCACUCUGGGCCGGUACUGACGCUGAGGAGCGAAAGCGUGGGGAGCAAACAGG
rnacentral:rRNA from 1 species